CGAAAGCCUGACGGAGCAAGACCGCGUGAGGGAGGAAGGCUCUUGGGUUGUAAACCCCUUUUAUCUGGGAAGAACAAAAUGACGGUACCAGAUGAAUAAGCCUCGGCUAACUCCGUGCCAGCAGCCGCGGUAAUACGGAGGAGGCAAGCGUUAUCCGGAUUUAUUGGGCGUAAAGAGUCCGUAGGUGGUUCAUCAAGUCUGCUGUUAAAGCGUGCAGCUCAACUGCAUAUAGGCAGUGGAAACUGUUGAACUAGAGUAUGGUAGGGGUAGGGGGAAUUCCCAGUGUAGCGGUGAAAUGCGUAGAGAUUGGGAAGAACACCGGUGGCGAAAGCGCCCUACUGGGCCAUAACUGACACUGAGGGACGAAAGCUAGGGUAGCG
rnacentral:rRNA from 1 species